GGCGGCAGCCUAUACAUGCAAGUCGAGCGAACUGAUUAGAAGCUUGCUUCUAUGACGUUAGCGGCGGACGGGUGAGUAACACGUGGGCAACCUGCCUGUAAGACUGGGAUAACUUCGGGAAACCGAAGCUAAUACCGGAUAGGAUCUUCUCCUUCAUGGGAGAUGAUUGAAAGAUGGUUUCGGCUAUCACUUACAGAUGGGCCCGCGGUGCAUUAGCUAGUUGGUGAGGUAACGGCUCACCAAGGCAACGAUGCAUAGCCGACCUGAGAGGGUGAUCGGCCACACUGGGACUGAGACACGGCCCAGACUCCUACGGGAGGCAGCAGUAGGGAAUCUUCCGCAAUGGACGAAAGUCUGACGGAGCAACGCCGCGUGAGUGAUGAAGGCUUUCGGGUCGUAAAACUCUGUUGUUAGGGAAGAACAAGUACAAGAGUAACUGCUUGUACCUUGACGGUACCUAACCAGAAAGCCACGGCUAACUACGUGCCAGCAGCCGCGGUAAUACGUAGGUGGCAAGCGUUAUCCGGAAUUAUUGGGCGUAAAGCGCGCGCAGGCGGUUUCUUAAGUCUGAUGUGAAAGCCCACGGCUCAACCGUGGAGGGUCAUUGGAAACUGGGGAACUUGAGUGCAGAAGAGAAAAGCGGAAUUCCACGUGUAGCGGUGAAAUGCGUAGAGAUGUGGAGGAACACCAGUGGCGAAGGCGGCUUUUUGGUCUGUAACUGACGCUGAGGCGCGAAAGCGUGGGGAGCACACAGGAUUAUAUACCCUGGUAGUCCACGCCGUAAACGAUGAGUGCUAAGUGUUAGAGGGUCUCCGCCCUUUUAGUGCUGCAGCUAACGCAUUAUGCACUCCGCCUGGGGGAGUACGGUCGCAAGACUGAAACUCAAAAGAAUUGACGGCCGCCCGCCACAAGCUGUGGAGCAUGUGGUUUAUUACAAUGCAACGCGAAGACAUACCAGGUCGUGACAUGCUCUGACACUCUAGAGAUAGAGCGUUCCCUCCGGGGACAGAAUGACAGUGCUGCAUGUUGUCGUCUGCUCGUGUCGUGAGAUGUUGGGUUAGGUC
rnacentral:rRNA from 2 species